UUCUCAGUUCGGAUCGGAGUCUGCAACCCGACUCCGUGAAGCUGGAUUCGCUAGUAAUCGCGCAUCAGCCAUGGCGCGGUGGAAUACGUUCCCGGGCCUUGUACACACCGCCCGUCAAGCCAUGGGAGCCGGGGGUGCUUGAAGUGCGUCGCCGCAAGGCGCGCCCUAGAGCAAAACCGGUGACUGGGGCUAAGUCGUAACAAGGUAAC
rnacentral:rRNA from 1 species